rnacentral:rRNA from 1 species
GACGAACCGUGCGAACGUUAUUCGGAAUCACUGGGCUUAAAGGGCGCGUAGGCGGGCGACCAAGUCAGGGGUGAAAGCCCACGGCCCAACCGUGGAAGUGCCUCUGAUACUGGUCGCCUCGAGGGGGACAGGGGCGUGCGGAACUCAGGGUGGAGCGGUGAAAUGCGUAGAUAUCCUGAGGAACACCGGUGGCGAAAGCGGCGCGCUGGAUCCCUUCUGACGCUGAGGCGCGAAAGCCAGGGGAGCAAACGGG